rnacentral:misc_RNA from 1 species
UCCGGUUUGUCACCGGCAGUCCCAUUAGAGUGCUCAACUGAAUGUAGCAACUAAUGGCAAGGGUUGCGCUCGUUGCGGGACUUAACCCAACAUCUCACGACACGAGCUGACGACAGCCAUGCAGCACCUGUGUUCCGGUUCCCUUUCGGGCACUCCCGCAUCUCUGCGGGAUUCCGGACAUGUCAAGGGUAGGUAAGGUUUUUCGCGUUAGUGACCUUUGC